CUUUGGAGAAUAGGAUGGUUCUGACCAGAGCUGAGCAUAUGCCUCUCUGCUCUAGCUAUGGUGAAGCCUGACCCUGGAUGUCGGCCUGGCAUCUAGGAGCAGUGGUGAGGGCCGGUCUUGAGAACAAACACCUUGCAGGACCCCUGCCACAGGAAGCACCACCCAGUGCCUUGCUCUCCGGCUGCACCCAUCAUAACUGACCACAGGUGAAAACUGCAAUAAUCAUAAUGCCACUGUGUGAUGAGCAGUCACCAGCGGUCAGCAAACUUUUUCUGUAAAAGGACAGACAAGACCAGGCACACACCAGCCUGGAAAAACUGCUCCAGACCGGCAGUGCCUGGAGGAACCAAGCUGAAGAUGCCGCCCAUGAGGAGGGCCCUGCCUGCCAUGAACCAUUCAGCACUUUCUGAGUCCAGAGUGUGGCAGGGAUUCUCUGCAUUCUCAUCAACCACAUGAGCCCAGAAAGCUUUUCCAGAGUGGCUGCAGCCUCGGUGGGGAUGCCUGGGUUUAUGCUCAAGGUCUCAGGGAACACCCCCGGGGCCGCCACACUGUGGUCAUCAAGCACCCACUGCGAGAAGUGCCCAGGAAUGUCUGCCCAUGUCCAUGGUCACAGGGCACAUGACUGACUCUGCAGCAGGGGUGCUGUGUGGAUCCCCCAACUCAUCAUUUGCUUCAUUCAGCAGCACAUGUCACCUCUCAUCGUGCAAAUCAACCAUCUGCGCUUUCGAAGAGUUCCCCUGGUGUGGGUGGCAGCAGGGCCAGAGGAAGCCCAUUUUUCCUUUGUGCACCCGAACAGUCCACCUACACAUGGCUUCCUCCCUGUAACAAAGCUCCCCAGCUUCAGUGGUGGCCUGGGGAGUGGGUAGGGUGUCUCCCGAUUUCCCUUCCUCCUCCUCGCAGGACUCCAUCUGUUGAGGAGGAUUGAGAAGAUGGGUACACGGGCAGCCUUCACUCCCAGCUGCUCUUCACAAUGGAACCACCACAGGUCAGGCCUCACGAUCACUGCCGUCACAGCUCUAAGUCACCUGGGCUCCUGCCUCUGCCUGCAACCAGGAAAUCCAUCACCCCCUCCUCGAGAGGAUGCCUCCACCCUCAGGGUAACCCAGUCAGACCCCUUGGCUGCCUCAUGCCUGUAAUCCCAGGGCUUUGGGAGACUGAGGCAGGGGGACCAUUUGAGGCCAGGGAUUUGAGGGUUCACUGAGCUCUGAUCACACCAACGCACUCCAGCAAGACCUUAUCUCUAAAAGAAAGAGAAAGAGGAGGAGAAGAAGGAGAAGGAAAGGAAGGAGGAGGAGGAGGAGAGAAGAAAGAAGGAAAAAGAAGAAGGAAGAAGAAGAAGAAAAGAAAGAAGGAGAAGAAGAAGAGAGAAACAACAACAGCAACUUUGUUGCUUCUGACCAACAAGAUUCGGUUUAGGGACAAGAGAUGUUUUUUCCAUGUUGGGCACCAGGGAGAAGACAGCAGGAGAGAACAAACACCCAGAAACCAAAGGAAACACUCUGUAAGCCCCAGAAGCAGGCAGAGGGUGAGGCAGGUGCACAGGCCUGAGCCUUCACCCUCCCAAGGAGGGCACUGUGAACUGGCAUCACUGGUGGGCUGGUGAUCCCCAAGACGGACCUGCACCCCAGCCAUCCCCACCUAUGAGCCCUUAUGGACUGAGGGGAGUUACAUGAAUAGAAUGCAUGGAGCACCUGCAUUCGCCAAGUCACAGAGGAGCUUUUGGGUGGGGAGAAUGUUUGACAUUUGGAGAAUGAGAGGCACGUUAGAGCGUGGACUUUGGUCGCUCCUGACUUUGCGGCCUUCCCUGCUGAGUCAGCUGGUCCUCGGACUCCAUAGGGACAGGGUGGUAAGGGUGGCCAUGAGAUCUUUCUGCAGACAAAGGUAGUUUCUCCUUGAUGACAUAAAACACAGACACACAGGAUUCCUUUGGUGUCGCGGUGUCGAGAAUAUCUUUUGCAAAGGAUCAAUGAAACGCAGGAGCAUGUCCUAUAGA